UCGACACCGCAUGGUGUUGAUUUGAAAGACGCUUUCGGGUGUCACUGAUGGAUGGACCCGCGGUGCAUUAGCUAGUUGGUGAGGUAACGGCUCACCAAGGCGAUGAUGCAUAGCCGACCUGAGAGGGUGAUCGGCCACACUGGGACUGAGACACGGCCCAGACUCCUACGGGAGGCAGCAGUAGGGAAUCUUCGGCAAUGGACGAAAGUCUGACCGAGCAACGCCGCGUGAGUGAAGAAGGUUUUCGGAUCGUAAAACUCUGUUGUUAGAGAAGAAUAAGUAGGAGAGUAACUGCUCUUACCUUGACGGUAUCUAACCAGAAAGCCACGGCUAACUACGUGCCAGCAGCCGCGGUAAUACGUAGGUGGNAAGCGUUGUCCGGAUUUAUUGGGCGUAAAGCGAGCGCAGGCGGUUUCCUAAGUCUGAUGUGAAAGCCCCCGGCUCAACCGGGGAGGGUCAUUGGAAACUGGGARACUUGAGUGCA
rnacentral:rRNA from 1 species